rnacentral:rRNA from 1 species
UGGGGAAUUUUGGACAAUGGGCGAAAGCCUGAUCCAGCAAUGCCGCGUGUGUGAAGAAGGCCUUCGGGUUGUAAAGCACUUUUGUCCGGAAAGAAAUCCUUGGCUCUAAUACAGUCGGGGGAUGACGGUACCGGAAGAAUAAGCGCCGGCUAACUACGUGCCAGCAGCCGCGGUAAUACGUAGGGUGCAAGCGUUAAUCGGAAUUACUGGGCGUAAAGCGUGCGCAGGCGGUUUGCUAAGACCGAUGUGAAAUCCCCGGGCUCAACCUGGGAACUGCAUUGGUGACUGGCAGGCUAGAGUAUGGCAGAGGGGGGUAGAAUUCCACGUGUAGCAGUGAAAUGCGUAGAGAUGUGGAGGAAUACCGAUGGCGAAGGCAGCCCCCUGGGCCAAUACUGACGCUCAUGCACGAAAGCGUGGGGAGCAAACAGGAUUAGAUACCCUGGUAGUCCACGCCCUAAACGAUGUCAACUAGUUGUUGGGGAUUCAUUUCCUUAGUAACGUAGCUAACGCGUGAAGUUGACCGCCUGGGGAGUACGGUCGCAAGAUUAAAACUCAAAUGAAUUGACGGGGUCAUAGCUGUUCCU